rnacentral:rRNA from 1 species
AGAGUUUGAUCAUGGCUCAGGACGAACGCUGGCGGCGUGCCUAAUACAUGCAAGUCGAACGGUCUUUUCUAUGGAAGCUUGCUUCCACUGAGAAGAUAGUGGCGAACGGGUGAGUAACACGUGGGUAACCUGCCCAUAAGAGGGGGAUAACAUCCGGAAACGGGUGCUAAUACCGCAUAGUUUUCUUGAUCGCAUGAUCGGGAAAGGAAAGACGGCCUUUGUGCUGUCGCUUAUGGAUGGACCCGCGGCGUAUUAGUUAGUUGGUGAGGUAAUGGCUCACCAAGACGAUGAUACGUAGCCGACCUGAGAGGGUGAUCGGCCACAUUGGGACUGAGACACGGCCCAAACUCCUACGGGAGGCAGCAGUAGGGAAUCUUCCGCAAUGGACGAAAGUCUGACGGAGCAACGCCGCGUGAGUGGAGAAGGUUUUCGGAUCGUAAAACUCUGUUGUCAGAGAAGAACAAGUUGGAGAGUAACUGCUCCAGCCUUGACGGUAUCUGACCAGAAAGCCACGGCUAACUACGUGCCAGCAGCCGCGGUAAUACGUAGGUGGCAAGCGUUGUCCGGAUUUAUUGGGCGUAAAGCGAGCGCAGGCGGUUCCUUAAGUCUGAUGUGAAAGCCCACGGCUCAACCGUGGAAGGUCAUUGGAAACUGGGGAACUUGAGUGCAGAAGAGGAGAGUGGAAUUCCAUGUGUAGCGGUGAAAUGCGUAGAUAUAUGGAGGAACACCAGUGGCGAAGGCGACUCUCUGGUCUGUAACUGACGCUGAGGCUCGAAAGCGUGGGGAGCAAACAGGAUUAGAUACCCUGGUAGUCC